GACGAGGCACUACGGUGCUGAAGCAACAAAUGCCCUGCUUCCAGGAAAAGCCUCUAAGCAUCAGGUAACAUCAAAUCGUACCCCAAACCGACACAGGUGGUCAGGUAGAGAAUACCAAGGCGCUUGAGAGAACUCGGGUGAAGGAACUAGGCAAAAUGGUGCCGUAACUUCGGGAGAAGGCACGCUGACACGUAGGUGAAGUGAUUUACUCAYGGAGCUGAAGUCAGUCGAAGAUACCAGCUGGCUGCAACUGUUUAUUAAAAACACAGCACUGUGCAAACACGAAAGUGGACGUAUACGGUGUGACGCCUGCCCGGUGCCGGAAGGUUAAUUGAUGGGGUCAGCGCAAGCGAAGCUCCUGAUCGAAGCCCCGGUAAACGGCGGCCGUAACUAUAACGGUCCUAAGGUAGCGAAAUUCCUUGUCGGGUAAGUUCCGACCUGCACGAAUGGCGUAAUGAUGGCCAGGCUGUCUCCACCCGAGACUCAGUGAAAUUGAACUCGCUGUGAAGAUGCAGUGUACCCGCGGCAAGACGGAAAGACCCCGUGAACCUUUACUAUAGCUUGACACUGAACAUUGAGCCUUGAUGUGUAGGAUAGGUGGGAGGCUUUGAAGUGUGGACGCCAGUCUGCAUGGAGCCGACCUUGAAAUACCACCCUUUAAUGUUUGAUGUUCUAACGUGGACCCGURAUCCGGGUUGCGGACAGUGUCUGGUGGGUAGUUUGACUGGGGCGGUCUCCUCCUAAAGAGUAACGGAGGAGCACGAAGGUUGGCUAAUCCUGGUCGGACAUCAGGAGGUUAGUGCAAUGGCAUAAGCCAGCUUGACUGCGAGCGUGACGGCGCGAGCAGGUGCGAAAGCAGGUCAUAGUGAUCCGGUGGUUCUGAAUGGAAGGGCCAUCGCUCAACGGAUAAAAGGUACUCCGGGGAUAACAGGCUGAUACCGCCCAAGAGUUCAUAUCGACGGCGGUGUUUGGCACCUCGAUGUCGGCUCAUCACAUCCUGGGGCUGAAGUAGGUCCCAAGGGUAUGGCUGUUCGCCAUUUAAAGUGGUACGCGAGCUGGGUUUAGAACGUCGUGAGACAGUUCGGUCCCUAUCUGCCGUGGGCGCUGGAGAACUGAGGGGGGCUGCUCCUAGUACGAGAGGACCGGAGUGGACGCAUCACUGGUGUUCGGGUUGUCAUGCCAAUGGCACUGCCCGGUAGCUAAAUGCGGAAGAGAUAAGUGCUGAAAGCAUCUAAGCACGAAACUUGCCCCGAGAUGAGUUCUCCCUGAGACUUAGAGUCUCCUGAAGGAACGUUGAAGACGACGACGUUGAUAGGCCGGGUGUGUAAGCGCAGCGAUGCGUUGAGCUAACCGGUACUAAUGAACCGUGAGGCUUAACCUU
rnacentral:rRNA from 1 species